rnacentral:rRNA from 1 species
AUUGAACGCUGGCGGCAGGCCUAACACAUGCAAGUCGAGCGAGCGGCGGACGGGUGAGUAAUGUCUGGGAAACUGCCUGAUGGAGGGGGAUAACUACUGGAAACGGUAGCUAAUACCGCAUACCAUCAGCUGUGCCCAGAUGGGAUUAGCUAGGUGGUGGGGUAAAGGCCUACCAAGGCGACGAUCCGUAACUGGUCUGUGAGGAUGAUCAGCCACACUGGAACUCAGACACAGUCCGAAGUCCUACAGGAGGCAGUAUUGGGGAAUAUUAGACGAUGGGCCACAUCCUGAUCCAGCCAUGCCGCGUGUGUGAAGCAGGUCUUCGGAUUGUCCAGCACUUUAAGUUGGGAGGCGUUACCAACAGAAUAGGCACCGGCUAACUUCGUGCCAGCAGCCGCGGUAAUAC